rnacentral:rRNA from 1 species
UAAGGAAUAUUGGACAAUGGUGGAAACACUGAUCCAGCCAUGCCGCGUGCAGGAUGACGGCCCUAUGGGUUGUAAACUGCUUUUGUACGGGAAAAAACCCUCGUUCGUGAACGAGGCUGAUGGUACCGUAAGAAUAAGGAUCGGCUAACUCCGUGCCAGCAGCCGCGGUAAUACGGAGGAUCCAAGCGUUAUCCGGAUUUAUUGGGUUUAAAGGGUGCGUAGGCGGAUUAAUAAGUCAGUGGUGAAAGCCUACAGCUUAACUGUAGAAUUGCCAUUGAUACUGUUAGUCUUGAGUAUAUUUGAAGUGGGCGGAAUGUGCAGUGUAGCGGUGAAAUGCUUAGAUAUUGCACAGAACACCGAUUGCGAAGGCAGCUCACUAAACUAUAACUGACGCUGAGGCACGAAAGUAUGGGGAUCAAACAGG